rfam:Triticum aestivum genome assembly, contig: Triticum_aestivum_CS42_TGACv1_scaffold_095992_2AL
CACCUACUCCCUCCGUUCCAAAUUACUUGCCGCGGGUAUGUAUGUAUCUAGAUGUAUUUUAGUUCUAGAUACAUCCAUUUCUGCGACGAGUAAUUUGAAACGGAGGGAGUAUUAU